CAAAGGUGAACCUCUUACCAAAGAGGAAAUGUGCACAAUAACUACUACUACCCACCAAAGGCAAUCCUCCAACCCGUGGAGUAAUAGAAGUCUACCUAAGACUUAACAAAAUACCAUGUCUACCAAAGACAUUAUCCUGUGAAAAUCCCCUUUAAAAAUGUAAAUAGUGAAAAACCCCAUUAAAACAAGAAAUGCAAUGUGUGGGAGGAUGGCAGAAGCAGGCAAAGGUCCCCAACCCCUUAAGGACACACGACAGAAAUACUCCGUCAUGAUACCCUUAAAUUCCAGAAGUUGUGUCCCCAAGGGGCUAAAGACCCCCUUACCUGCAACUCCGUUCCUAAUUGCACCCAAACUUCUGACACCAAUUUGUUGGGGAUAAAAUCAGCCUGGCCCUUUGUGGAUGAUGGAUAUUUGCCAACUCAUACAGAGCUCUGGAAAUUGGAAAUGAAUAGCAGAGACGUGUUCAAUAACCAAUUCAAAUUGUAUUCAUACGUCAGUUAUAUUUAUAACCCAUUUUCAUAGCAGGAUGGGAGGGGGAAAAAUGA